UAUGUGAUCGUCUCUCGCAUAUCAAUAAGCGGAGGAAAAGAAACUAACAAGGAUUCCCCUAGUAACGGCGAGUGAAGCGGGAAGAGCUCAAAUCUGAAAUCUUAAAGGGUUUCCCUUUACGAAUUGUAGUUUAAAGAAGUGUUUUCUGUUGAGGUUUUGGUAAAAGUUCUUUGGAAUAGGACAUCAUAGAGGGUGAGAAUCCCGUAUUUGACCUUCACUUUCAACUUUGUGAUACACUUUCAAAGAGUCGGAUUGUUUGGGAAUGCAGUCCAAAAUGGGUGGUAAAUUUCAUCUAAAGCUAAAUAUUGGCGAGAGACCGAUAGCGAACAAGUACCGUGAGGGAAAGAUGAAAAGAACUUUGAAAAGAGAGUUAAACAGUACGUGAAAUUGUCAAAAGGGAAGCGUUUGACACCAGUGUUGUUUUUCUGAAAAUCAAUUAAAGAACUGUUUAUGCUAAGUUGUUUAGACUUUAUCAGCUAUCUGUUUAGUUUUGAGCUUUUCUUUAAUGCACUUUUCAGUUAACAAGUCAACAUCAAUUUCUUUUGCUGUAAAAAAGCUUGAGGAAGGUGGCUUGAGAUUCGUCUUAAGUGUUUAUAGCCUCUUGCCUAUGCAGUCGGAGAGAUUGAGGUCUGCAGCGUAGAUCCUUCGGGGCUAAAUGCAUUUGUGCUAAGUUAUAACAUUUUAUAGACAACUUGUUGACUAUGAUUUGUCUUGUAGCUUACUCGCUUAUGUUAUUUUACCUACGCUUAGGAUGUUGAGUAGCGACAUACGCAC
rnacentral:rRNA from 1 species